rnacentral:rRNA from 1 species
GACGAACGCUGGCGGCGUGCCUAAUACAUGCAAGUAGGACGCAGUUGCGAACGGGUGAGUAACGCGUAGGUAACUGCCUAUUAUAAGGGGAUAACUAUUGGAAACGAUAGCUAAUACCGCAUACUAGUAGAUGUACCUGUGUUGUAUUAGCUAGUAGGUAGGGGAAUGGCCUACCUAGGCAACGGUACAUAGCCGACCUGGUGAGGGGAUCGGCCACAAUGGGACUGAGAAACGGCCCAGACUCCCACGGGAGGCAGCAGGAGGGAAUCUUCGGCAAUGGGGGGAAAGCUGACCGAGCAACGCCGCGUGAGUGAAGAAGGUUUUCGGAUCGGAAAGCUCUGUUGUGAAGGAAGCGGUACUUAACCAGAAAGGGACGGCUAACUACGUGCCAGCCGCCGCGGUAAUAC